rnacentral:rRNA from 1 species
GUCAUUGAGAGCGUGGCUUCUGGAGCAAACGGGUUAAAGACGCCUGCUUGGGGAGUACGGCCGCAAGAUCAAAACUCAAAUGAAUUUACGGGGUCCCGCAGGAGCGGGGAGCAUGUGGUUUAAUUCGAUGAAACGCGAAGAACCUUACUACUCUUGACAUCCAG